UUCAAGAGUAUGCACAGAAAUGCCAUAAAAAGAAGACUGCAUGAAGAGGAAGGAUUUAAAAUGCAUGUUUUGGAAAUAAUUGCUUAAAAAAUGAGGAGUCAGUGACGUCACAGAGUAAGCUGUCCUGGAUACUGCCUGAAAAAAGAUCCAAUGAGUCUCAGAGAAAACUCUGGUGUGGACAAAUUUGAAAAUUAGAGCAUGUUUUCUUUCCGGGACUUGGAUUAUUUUAGUGUUUUUACUCUCUUUUCAUUUUCCAGCGGAAGACCUCAUGUUUGGAUUUACCUCUCUCUAAAAACUGACCCUUCCUUUGCCCUUAUUUCCGCUGCAGAUUCAUGACACACUUAGUUUCUUUUGGAUGUGUUGUGGUAAACAUCCCGGAUCUCUCGUUUGACUUGUUAUGUUGACAGUAAACACCAGUCCUCAUUCACAAGUACAAUCAAAUUAAGCCAGGACCAAAAGGAUACUGUUUUUUUCUAUCUGCUCUGUUACAAACCCGAACAAAAACACAGGCAGGUGCAGAACAACUAAAGACGUCCGGAGUGACUACCGAAAAUGGGAACUGUGAAGCAUGUACUACCUGGGACUGAAGCCAAGUGCUGACAAAAGGCUUUACUGCACGACUCUAAGAGAAGCCUGAAACUCUCGCUCUGAAAUGCUUCAGGAAUAUCUGGCACUGAACUGUUUGGUCAGCUUGAGAUAAAUCUGUCAAACCUUUUGGCCUCAUUUCAAGACAGCAUUUUGGCCGACCGGUUUCUACUGGUAUUUGCAAAAUAGUCUGUCCUUGAGGCUGAGGUAGUAGAUUGAAUAGUUGUGGGGUUUGGAUCCUCCGUCUGAGAUAACUUUUCAAUCUACUGUCUUUCCUAAGGAGACAGGGUGAUCUGCUGCAAUUAUGAAGACACAUUGUACACGGGAUGCUCUAUGUAUGAAGAUCUCAUGGACUCAGCUGAGCUGAUUCAAGAGACGACUGCUCCUUGACCUCUGAGGAGGAGUUGAAGAUUUAACAAAGACUUCAUGUAUUUACUAGCUACAAUGGUGAAGAUGUAUUCUAACAAUGUGUAAUAAAGUUGGUACAUUUGAGUGAAGUCUUGUUUUGACAGAUAGUGACUGGUGAGUUGAGCCUUGCAAGGUGAGGUAGUAGGUUGUAUAGUUUGUGGGAUGGAGUAAAUCCUGCUCAGGCGAUAACUAUACAGUCUAUUACCUUCCUUGAGAGGUACAAUGAGUGCUUGGACUGAGGCUCAGACCGAGUGGGGAAGAAGCCACUCUGACGCCAUCUUGUGACCGAAGACUACAAGCACUGUGGAAGUUGUUGACAUUCAGACUUCUUCUGCAUUUAUCUGGGUUUGUAACACAAACCUGCCUGGUGAUAAAAGAAGCUGAUAACAUGCAGAGUUUAGUGAAACUCAAAAACAAGUGUUGUUCCAGAAAUAGCUGUAAGGUUCAUGAGUCCUUAGUUAAGGAGUUACUGACAAAGCAUUGUACCGCUAAAGGAGUUUAAUCUGAGGGAAGUUUGGUGCAGUCAAAAACCAAAUGUCUGCUCAGUACUGUUUAGAUUUUUAAUCCCAGGAUUUCACCUGGACAUCUGAAUGCUACCUGUACAUUAACCUCAGCCCCGAGAGAGCUAGUCUUCAAAGAAAUUUAGUCUUCAGGCCUGAAAUCACUGGAAGUCUUUAAGGGAUUAAUGCUUGAUUUAAAAAUUCACUAACUGCAAUAAACACAUGAUUGAAGGCGACGUUAUUGCCAAGACAUUUUAUCUAGUAGUAGUAGUUGUGGAAUUGCCUAUGUGGAUUUCAAUUAGCAGAUAUAGCAAGAUCAUUAAUUUGAUAUGAACAUAUUAGAACUGGUGGUAUCAUUGUAUCUGAUCGUAGGUACAACUGACUUAGUAAAGAAACAGAAUUUUUUGUAAUGUCAGAAAUCAGUGUAAGUUGUAUGAAAUGUAUCCUAGAAAUGAAGACUAAAUAAAAUCUAAAUUAACCUUUUUCUCACCUUCUUUAUCACCUUUUGGGCUUUAUCAAAUCUGAUAAAACAAAGGAAAAAUCCUCAAGUCAUGAGCUUAACAUAUAAUCUCUGAAAAGGUUAAAAAAUGUGGCGCUCUCUCAGCACAGUGUGUGAAACUUGUAUUUUACAGUAUCAUCUUGUUGAAGUCCAAAACGUUUAGACUAAAUGGAUUUUAUUUGCAGAGUUGGCUAGCCGUCUCACAUCUCUUUAAGUGUGUAGGGCUUUGACUUAAGUAUUAUAGCGUACUAUUGAUGAAUAAUUAAACUAAUAUCAAUCGGA